rnacentral:pre_miRNA from 10 species
CUGGCUCUUGCCUGGUGGCGUUAAUUCUCGCUGGGGCCUCCAAAUUGUUGUACUUGAGCGAGUUAGUAAAAUGCCACAAUUUGAGACGAAUUAAGAGUCCUUUAUUAG